GACGUAGGGGGCGAGCGUUGUUCGGAUUUACUGGGCGUAAAGCGCGCGUAGGCGGCUAGAUAAGUCGGGUGUGAAAGCCCUCGGCUCAACCGAGGUCCCGCAUCCGAUACUGCCUGGCUGGAGUCUAGGAGAGGAAAGCGGAAUUCCCAGUGUAGCGGUGAAAUGCGUAGAUAUUGGGAGGAACACCGAUGGCGAAGGCGGCUUUCUGGACUAGCACUGACGCUGAGGCGCGAAAGCUAGGGGAGCGAACGGG
rnacentral:rRNA from 1 species